rnacentral:tRNA from 2 species
GGAGAAAUGGCCGAGAGGCUGAAGGCACUCGCCUGCUAAGCGAGUAUACUGGGAAACCGGUAUCGAGAGUUCGAAUCUCUCUUUCUCCGCCA